rnacentral:lncRNA from 1 species
AUCUUUCCGACCACACAAGAGAAAAACUUAAGCAUUGAUGACUGUCACUUAGGUACUUACGAAUGCAUGAAAGGUCCUUUUAAGGUCCUUUUUUGGCACCAUCCCUGAUCCCUGGGAACCCUGCUGUAUUGAGUGAGUUAAUAGAAUGUUGCCAUUGUGCAGUUUACCAGCAAUACACCAUUUUACAAAGGAUAAGUGUUUACAAAACUCGGAUAAAUACUUCAUGAAAUGGUACUAAUUGUUGCAUGACUUCAGAAUUCCUGUAAUUUGUUUUUAAAGCUGCAGCAUUGAGAAAUGCAUAGGCAUUUGGUUUAAGAAAGUAAAUAAGAGAGAAGUAAUUUUACAUUGAAGUUUAUUGUUCAUAGCUAUAAGUGUGUGGAGAACUAAGCAAGCAUUUCUUGGACAUUAUUGUAUGUAGGAAUCAGUGGAUGAGACUGUGAGGGAAGUUAAACUAAUGGAGAGCUACUACUUGUAAUCCAUUAAAUAUUUUUAUUCAUAUUUAUCUUGGGUUUGCACAUGAGAGAAAAAGGGCAGCGGAGGUCUUUUUUUUUUAACCUCAAUCUACAAUGGCACUAGUAAAGUCACUGUAAUACAUCUUGUGUUUCUGCUAAUAAGCUUAAUUAUAACAGUGUGGUAGUUGAUUUUUUUAACAGGGUCAGACUUUACCAUGAUAAGUUCAUUACAUUUUGGUGAAAAACUUUACUCAGAUGAAGCUUAUUGGUCAAAAACUUAACUAUUUGUGUUGUCAAUCUGUUCAUAGCUUUGUGGAUCAAGUAGUUCACAACUCUUGAUGUGGCUACUGAGCUGUAAGGCUCUUAGUAGAACUAGAUUUUAGUGAAUUUUCAUCCAGAGGUUGGAAAACAGGAUUUCUUCCACUUGACAGGAAAGGCAACCUAGAAUAUCUAGGGGCACAAUGAGGAAUUUAGGAAACAGCGAAGAUGCAGAUCCUACUGUCCAACAUCUAAUAAAAUGUUAUUCUGGGAACUAGACAGACCGCUUCCUGUAGCUCUUUGCGUUCUGAUUAGCAUCAGAUGGUGGCAGAGGUCACUGGAAAGAAUUUUGGAGACAUGGACAGUGGCUUAGUUUUGUAGAAUGAUUUUGCAAAAGGAGGACGAGCAGGGAAGUAACAAUAAGCGGAAAAGGAAGGAAUGAAGAGUGUGACAAAGGACUAGCAUUGUGUGGACUGUUGUUAGGAGUAAUACUUAAGGUAAAGGUUUAAAAGGAUUAAAUUCUUGGCCGGUGGCGGAUAUGGAAAGGGAGAGAGUUCCAUUGUUUCGCUGCACAAUAACUAAAAUUCCUGUGACCAUACAUUGUUGUUCUGGUUCUCAUUCAAAUAUAAAUGAACUUGGAAAAUAUAUAUUAAGACUAUAAAUGCUAAAAUUUAUCAAUACAAUUGUAAAAGAUGUACAUCAAGACGCGUAUGUAAAAUUGUAUGAUUGAUAAUUUUCCUCUCUUUCUUUCACUGGUAUGCGCACGGCGAAAAUGAAUACUUCGUGUAUACAAAUGUUCGAUUAACUACAAUCUGCAUAGGGGCCAAGUUCCUGUCACAUCUUAAAGCGAUCCUUGACCCCUCUUUUCCAUCUCUAAUAUUCCUCUUGCAUGUUUGUCAUGAGAAAGCAGAUCAAAUACAUUCCGCCGACACUCUGUAAAACUUAAUAAACGAGGGCCGAACGAUCAGUCACAAAAUAUUAACAAACAAAAAAUAAGCAACACAAGAUUGACAAGGUAAUGAAGACGAGCGGAAUGGGAUGUAUGCAAUUCAAACUCGGGGCUCGCCUGAGCAGCGCUUACGUCAGGGGAAGUCAGCCGACCAGCAGGUGGCGCGCGUCUCCACCCCCGUGACGUCACAGCGCGCGCUGAGCUUGGAUCGAAGAAAGUAUUGUGGCUGAGGAGCCAGGUUCUGUCCAAACCAAAAUCGAGGACGGAGGAGACAGGAGAAGAUGAACUCAGACAGAAAUGCUGUGACUGACGGCUCUCUCUCCAAGCGUUCAGACGGCCGCGCCAUGUCGACUUCCUCCUGUGAACAGCGAUGGCCUCGGUGGUUGAGUGCAGCAGCUGGCAGACUGCAGCAGGCGGCCCCGCCGUGCGUGCGUGAGUGGGAUGCGGAAUCCACUUAUUGAUCUACUCACCAUCACUACUUUGGAAAACAGCGCAGUGCUGUCCGAACACCAGCCUUGUGUUUCGUCUUCAGACGACUCCAAGUGCGGUUGGGUCUACACCCAUCUGUCUUCCCUUCUCCCACUCACACGAGCGGAACGAAUGAGUUUGGCCUUCAUCGUGACAGGCGGACCCCGUCAUACAGUGGAGGUCCACGACUGUGGCUUGUGCUUUUCUAUUUCAUAAAAGAUACAUUUACUAACUUAUUAGAAGCCAUUCUUUUCUGGACAUCACAGUAAUAUGGUAAAUGUAAUGUGGAGGCACACUCAACGAGCGUGUUUUUGUCAAGAGUGUAGAGCCUCGAGAGGUCAUGACCCUGCAUAAGAACAAACAUCUGAGCUGGUCAGCACUCGCCGGUAAACAGCUCACAUCUUUGACUUGCAACUCAAGCAUCGAUAUUAUAUAUAUAUGUGAGGACAGAGCUGUGUCACCUCAUCGACAUCUGGCCAAAAAAUCCAGUCAAGAGAUGAAGUAAGGCUGUAAAUGUCGGACAGCGAAAUAGUAGGCUUCCAUGAAGACAACCAAAUCAACAUUGUUGGCAACUUGCAACCCUCUGCCAGCCAGAAAACUGGAACGAACAUUCCUCGGGAACUGAGAGUAACAUUUUUUUUUUUUUUUUUUUUUUUUUUUUAAGGCCCUUCGCCCCUCCUGGGGCAUAGGCCAUCGACUACAGUCUUAACUGUUGUCGAUGUUUUAGUAGCAAGGAUUUGU